AACGAACGCUGGCGGCAUGCCUAACACAUGCAAGUCGAACGAGACCUUCGGGUCUAGGGGCGCACGGGGGCGUAACGCGUGGGAACCUGCCCUUAGGUUCGGAAUAACUCCCCGAAAGGGGUGCUAAUACCGGAUAAUGUCUUCGGACCAAAGAUUUAUCGCCUUUGGAUGGGCCCGCGUUGGAUUAGCUAGUUGGUAGGGUAAAAGCCUACCAAGGCGACGAUCCAUAGCUGGUCUGAGAGGAUGCUCAGCCACACUGGGACUGAGACACGGCCCAGAAUCCUACGGAGAGCAGCAGUGGGGAAUAUUGGACAAUGGGCGAUAGCCUGAUCCAGCAAUGCCGCGUGAGUGAUGAAGGCCUUAGGGUUGUAAAGCUCUUUUACCCGGGAUGAUAAUGACGGUACCGGGAGAAUAAGCUCCGGCUAACUCCGUG
rnacentral:rRNA from 1 species